AUUGAACGCUGGCGGCAGGCCUAACACAUGCAAGUCGAGCGGAUGAAGGGAGCUUGCUCCUGGAUUCAGCGGCGGACGGGUGAGUAAUGCCUAGGAAUCUGCCUGGUAGUGGGGGAUAACGUCCUGAAACGGGCGCUAAUACCGCAUACGUCCUGAGGGAGAAAGUGGGGGAUCUUCGGACCUCACGCUAUCAGAUGAGCCUAGGUCGGAUUAGCUAGUUGGUGGGGUAAAGGCCUACCAAGGCGACGACCCGUAACUGGUCUGAGAGGAUGACCAGUCACACUGGAACUGAGACACGGUCCAGACUCCUACGGGAGGCAGCAGUGGGGAAUAUUGGACAAGGGGCGAAAGCCUGAUCCAGCCAUGCCGCGUGUGUGAAGAAGGUCUUCGGAUUGUAAAGCACUUUAAGUUGGGAGGAAGGGCAGUAAGUUAAUACCUUGCUGUUUUGACGUUACCAACAGAAUAAGCACCGGCUAACUUCGUG
rnacentral:rRNA from 1 species